UGGUUCUUAUGCUGUGUGCCUUGGACUCU
rnacentral:piRNA from 1 species